UACGAAGGGUGCAAGCGUUACUCGGAAUUACUGGGCGUAAAGCGUGCGUAGGCGGUUUCUUAAGUCUGCUGUGAAAGCCCUGGGCUCAACCUGGGAAUGGCGGUGGAUACUGAGAAGCUGGAGUACGGUAGAGGAAGGUGGAAUUCCCGGUGUAGCGGUGAAAUGCGUAGAGAUCGGGAGGAACAUCAGUGGCGAAGGCGGCCUUCUGGACCAGUACUGACGCUGAGGCACGAAAGCGUGGGGAGCAAACAGG
rnacentral:rRNA from 1 species